rnacentral:tRNA from 1 species
GGUUUUUUAAUAUAACAAGUAUAUUAGACUUCCAAUCUAAAAGUCUGACAGUCUCAGAAUAACUA